ACUAAAGGAAAACAUUAAAUUCAACUGCCCCAACAUGUGCGGCCGGCGCUACAAGAGAAACUCUGAGCUUAACAGGCAUCUGAAAUUGGAAUGCGGUGUGUCCAAGAGAUUUCAAUGCCCCACGUGUUUAACAAAUUUCGCCCGCAAAGAAGUACUGAAGAAACACAUGUCGUUCUCGCAUUAUAACACGUACAUUUCUCUUCCAAGUGCUUAAUAAUUGGAUCUCCCGAAUAUAAUUUAUCGGACUCGAGUGACCAGUAAUGAUAUUAGAAAAAUAUAUUAAAAGUAUCUCAAUAACGACAGACCGUCGUUUAUGUAUGAAUUGUCAUAUAGUUUUUGUUUAAAAUAAUGAUUUAUUAAAAAAUCGCGUGUAUACAAGUCACGAGUUUAAAAAUCUACCAUGUAGUAUUCUUUCUUUUUUUACUUAAAUAAUGAUUAUUAAAUCUUCAUUAGCGUAUAUUUUGUUAAUCCUUAGUCCUUGUACAAGUAUAAUUUAUGCGUUAGCUUUACUGUAGUAAGAAAGCAGUAUUAGUGUUGGCGCUGAAUUGGAAAAAUGAAAUUUUUUAACGGUUGGCAGUUCUAUGUAUAGUUGUCCGAAUAACUGCGGUCGUCAAUAUACUAGAAAGGACUCGAUGAACCGUCACGUGACAUACGAGUGUGGCGUCGAACCGCAAUUCAAGUGCCGGUUUUGCGCUAAGACUUGCGCUCAAAAAUAUAACCUCAAAAAACACAUGAUUACUGUACACAACUAUGCUUAUCUACAGGCGAUUCGAGACAAAAGAAAAUGAUUUAUUUUAUCAUGAAAUGUUUAAUCACGUUUUCAUUAUAUUUAAAUGUUUUUUUUAUUUUUUAUUAAAUUACUUAUGCUUGUAUCUUAUACAAUUUUAAUUGUACAACUAUAUUUUUAUUAAACGUGGGAAUUCUGUUUUUAAAAUGUUAAUUUAUUAUUUAUAAAUUAACAAUAAUAAAAAAUUGAUUUAACGUCAACAUGAGACGUUAUAAUAGUUGCAGGUUGUCCUAUCUGAAUAAAAUAGUACAAUUAAUGUCAUCCAGUAAAACAAGAAGUAAUAACUAGAUAAUAUGGAGCUUCUGUACAAUACCAAUAUGAAAGCACUGGUACCACCAUUAACAUGCAUGCUAUAGCCCUGUGUACCACUAGAGUUUAACGCUGAUACAACAUACUAGAUGUAUAUUAUAUAUUUGUAAGUUUCAAAUUUUCAAUUAAGUACAUAAUUACAGUAGAUGCUAUCUGAAAUAUUAUGUCUUGUGGUAAUGAACCUUAUCAACUCCGAAAUUUUUAAACAACUCAACUUUAACUGUAGCCAGCCUUCACUGAAUUAUUUAAAUUGGAAUGCUCUGUCCACAGCUAAGCAACAUUUUGUCUGUGCCGAGUUUGAGACAUAUAUCGUCAGGCGAGAGCAAACAAGCAACGAUGUUAUCGAAAAUAUUGUUUACGCGUGGACAGAUUAAUGAUGUUUUCAUUUACUUCUACUAUAACGUGGUUAAUCGUCGAUCUGUGGGGACAACGUGUGAUUAAUACUUACUGAUAUUUGUAUUGAUUGUACUUAUUUGGCCACCACUGUCCAAGGCAUAUGUACCUAAAUGUCGGCGAAUGCGGUGUUAUUGUUUGCUGAAACGCUUUAAAUUAACCCAUUAUAUUAUGUUUGUCUAUAUUAUUCAUUAUCCCUCCUAUCACCUAACCAAUUAAUUUUUCUUUCUUGUGCCGUCGUCGAACGCAAUGUAUUUCAUUUUUGUUUUUUAU